AACGAACGCUGGCGGCAUGCCUAACACAUGCAAGUCGAACGAGACCUUCGGGUCUAGUGGCGCACGGGUGCGUAACGCGUGGGAACCUGCCCUUAGGUUCGGAAUAACUCCCCGAAAGGGGUGCUAAUACCGGAUAAUGUCUUCGGACCAAAGAUUUAUCGCCUUUGGAUGGGCCCGCGUUGGAUUAGCUAGUUGGUAGGGUAAAAGCCUACCAAGGCGACGAUCCAUAGCUGGUCUGAGAGGAUGAUCAGCCACACUGGGACUGAGACACGGCCCAGACUCCUACGGAAGGCAGCAGGGGGGAAUAUGGGACAGUGGGCGAAAGCCUGAUCCAGCAAUGCCGCGUGAGUGAUGAAGGCCUUAGGGUUGUAAAGCUCUUUUACCCGGGAUGAUAAUGACAGUACCGGGAGAAUAAGCUCCGGCUAACUCCGU
rnacentral:rRNA from 1 species